UACGUAGGGGGCAAGCGUUGUCCGGAAUCAUUGGGCGUAAAGCGCGUGUAGGCGGCCUGGUAAGUCCGCUGUGAAAGUCGGGGGCUCAACCCUCGAAUGCCGGUGGAUACUGUCGGGCUAGAGUGCGGGAGAGGCGAGUGGAAUUCCCGGUGUAGCGGUGAAAUGCGCAGAUAUCGGGAGGAACACCGGUGGCGAAGGCGGUUCUCUGGGCCUGACCUGACGCUGAGGAGCGAAAGCGUGGGGAGCGAACAGG
rnacentral:rRNA from 1 species